rnacentral:rRNA from 1 species
GACGAACGCUGGCGGCGUGCUUAACACAUGCAAGUCGAACGGAAAGGCCCUGCUUUUGUGGGGUGCUCGAGUGGCGAACGGGUGAGUAACACGUGAGUAACCUGCCCUUGACUUUGGGAUAACUUCAGGAAACUGGGGCUAAUACCGGAUAGGAGCUCCUGCUGCAUGGUGGGGGUUGGAAAGUUUCGGCGGUUGGGGAUGGACUCGCGGCUUAUCAGCUUGUUGGUGGGGUAGUGGCUUACCAAGGCUUUGACGGGUAGCCGGCCUGAGAGGGUGACCGGCCACAUUGGGACUGAGAUACGGCCCAGACUCCUACGGGAGGCAGCAGUGGGGAAUAUUGCACAAUGGGCGGAAGCCUGAUGCAGCAACGCCGCGUGCGGGAUGACGGCCUUCGGGUUGUAAACCGCUUUCGCCUGUGACGAAGCGUGAGUGACGGUAAUGGGUAAAGAAGCACCGGCUAACUACGUGCCAGCAGCCGCGGUGAUACGUAGGGUGCGAGCGUUGUCCGGAUUUAUUGGGCGUAAAGGGCUCGUAGGUGGUUGAUCGCGUCGGAAGUGUAAUCUUGGGGCUUAACCCUGAGCGUGCUUUCGAUACGGGUUGACUUGAGGAAGGUAGGGGAGAAUGGAAUUCCUGGUGGAGCGGUGGAAUGCGCAGAUAUCAGGAGGAACACCAGUGGCGAAGGCGGUUCUCUGGGCCUUUCCUGACGCUGAGGAGCGAAAGCGUGGGGAGCGAACAGGCUUAGAUACCCUGGUAGUCCACGCUGUAAACGGUGGGUACUAGGUGUGGGGUCCAUUCCACGGGUUCCGUGCCGUAGCUAACGCUUUAAGUACCCCGCCUGGGGAGUACGGCCGCAAGGCUAAAACUCAAAGGAAUUGACGGGGCCCCGCACAAGCGGCGGAGCAUGCGGAUUAAUUCGAUGCAACGCGUAGAACCUUACCUGGGUUUGACAUGGAUCGGGAGUGCUCAGAGAUGGGUGUGCCUCUUUUGGGGUCGGUUCACAGGUGGUGCAUGCCUGUCGUCAGCUCGUGUCGUGAGAUGUUGGGUUAAGUCCCGCAACGAGCGCAACCCUUGUUCACUGUUGCCAGCACGUUAUGGUGGGGACUCAGUGGAGACCGCCGGGGCCAACUCGGAGGAAGGUGGGGAUGACGUCAAGCCCUCAUGCCCCUUAUGUCCAGGGCUUCACGCAUGCUACAAUGGCUGGUACAGAGAGUGGCGAGCCUGUGAGGGUGAGCGAAUCUCGGAAAGCCGGUCUCAGUUCGGAUUGGGGUCUGCAACUCGACCUCAUGAAGUCGGAGUCGCUAGUAAUCGCAGAUCAGCAACGCUGCGGUGAAUACGUUCCCGGG